rnacentral:sRNA from 1 species
GGUCAGCUCAGCUAUAUGAAAACACGUAACAAAAUCUAUAAUUUAGGAACAUCGAUCAUAUCGGCUAAAAUAAGACUGAAAGCCGAUUGGGAGAUCUUUGGACCAAGUAAUUAUUGGCAACGUACAGCGCUUUAUCCACUAUUGAAUAAGUGAAUCAGAGACUCUAAUUUGUUGCCUUUACCAAAUCAAAAUACAUAUAC